AAAAAGUCCUGGUGGGAUUAGAAAGCGACUUGUCUGGGAUUUACAUAAUGAUGGUAAAAUAGGCCGAUGAUAUUAGGUCAGAACGAAGAGGAGGGUUAAAUCCCAGGAAGAAAGUCAGUCUCAACGUGAAACAGGGAAGAGACAGCAGGCGCGAGCACUCCGGGGGCACUGUGUUCUGUUAAUGACUCUGGAUGUCACUUCAUGGCGGCAACUUUGAAGAUUGCGUUUGUGCUUCUUGCUUCGAAUGUUAAAUCCUGAGUGACAGUAGUCUUUUGUUUCAGCAAAUUAAAAAGAACCUGAAGAAAUACUCUAAGAUCUUUGAACAGAAGGAUCGUUUGAGCCAGUCCAAAGCCUCAAAGGAAUUGGUGGAGAGAAGGCGCACCAUGAUGGAAGACUUCCGGAAGUACCGGAAGAUGGCCCAGGAGCUGUAUAUGGAGCAGAAAAACGAGCGCCUGGAGCUGCGAGGAGGUGACUUUGAGAUCCCUCAGUCACCAGCUGGCCAUUCUGCCGCCAUGGGCCCAGGUGGACACGAAUUCCUGUGUUCUUCCCACUGGCCUCGGCGGGUGACCCGUGCCCUUUGUCCCCUCAGGGGUGGACACUGAUGAGCUGGACAGCAAUGUGGACGACUGGGAAGAGGAGACCAUAGAAUUCUUUGUCACUGAAGAAAUCAUCCCCCUCAGGAAUCAGGAGUGACCGGGGAGCUCUGUGCGCGUGUGGUGUGGAGCGGAGGCCGCCCUGCAGGAAGCCUGCUCGACUCCCACCGCCUCCCCGUGUUCUGGACUGUGACCACGCCUGGGAUUCUGCCAUUGCAACACAUUUUUGUGCCUUUCAGCCCCUGGCGUCUACAGUGGGGGGUUUUAAGGCACCACUUCCACUUCUUUCUUGUUUGGGGUUUUCUGUCGGAACCACCUGCGUUGGCUCCGUAGACUCUAGCAGCGUCACCAGCAGCAUCUUCUUCCGCAGCCAGUGGUGUUUCCACGGUGCCCAUCCACAGCUGAGCGGUGUUUCCGUUGAAGGACUUGUGUCCCUGUCGCGCGUAGUGCUGGACAUGUGCCGGAGAUCCGCCGGGGGGGCACUGCCACGCCUCGUACCCCCACUGUGCAGGUGGUGGCCAGUUUUCUCCACAGGUUGAACGUGG
rnacentral:lncRNA from 1 species